CAAAAACGCGGUACCAAAGUACAUUGCAGUACCAUGUUUUGUCGCUUUGCACUUUGAAUAUAACCGUAACUUGGGUUUAAUUCGUUAUAUAAUCGAUAAAAUAAAUACCUGGUAUCCACCGGUAUUGAUUCCACUUCACCAUUUACAACCGUGUUUCAAAAUACUUACGAUGUAAACAUAUCUCAGCACCAUAACACCGAAGACUUCCCGAGGAAGAGUUCCUAAGCUCGAAAUAUUGAAAUAUAAGGCUUUUCAGCAUCGAUUCACGGUUUCGUUUGCUGCUUGACGCCGCCACUAUAGAAUCUAUCCACUGUCACAUCAAAUUUCUUCAUUAGAGAGAGUGCAGCAAAAAACAAAAACGAAAAUGAAAGAAAAAAUGA